UUGAUAACACUGAAAUUCAGCUUCAUCAACAGUAACAGCUUCAUUACCAAAAUGCCCCAAAUGUUUCAAUACAGCUUGCUGUUGCUUGGCAACUUGCUCUCUAAGCCUAGCAGCUUGCUUCUUGAUGGCCUCCAUAUGAAAAAAGGAGUACAGCAAGUAACAACUAUGAUAAAGCAAUCCGUAAUAACUGAAUUAGACGUAGUGAUCAGUGUUUUGCAGAGGAGAAAUCAAGCAAUUACGUGCAUAUGAGAGGAGAUUGAAGAACUUUCGCAUCUCAUCGGCCUAAAAAGAGAGAAAACUUUG
rnacentral:misc_RNA from 1 species